AGUGAACGCUGGCGGUAGGCCUAACACAUGCAAGUCGAACGGCAGCACAGGAGAGCUUGCUCUCUGGGUGGCGAGUGGCGGACGGGUGAGGAAUACAUCGGAAUCUACUCUGUCGUGGGGGAUAACGUAGGGAAACUUACGCUAAUACCGCAUACGACCUACUGGUGAAAGCAGGUGAUCUUCGGACCUUUCGCGAUUGAAUGAGCCGAUGUCGGAUUAGCUAGUUGGCGGGGUAAAGGCCCACCAAGGCGACGAUCCGUAGCUGGUCUGAGAGGAUGAUCAGCCACACUGGAACUGAGACACGGUCCAGACUCCUACGGGAGGCAGCAGUGGGGAAUAUUGGACAAUGGGCGCAAGCCUGAUCCAGCCAUACCGCGUGGGUGAAGAAGGCCUUCGGGUUGUAAAGCCCUUUUGUUGGGAAAGAAAUCCAGCUGGCUAAUACCCGGUUGGGAUGACGGUACCCAAAGAAUAAGCACCGGCUAACUUCGUGCCAGCCGCCGCAGUAA
rnacentral:rRNA from 1 species